CUCUGGUAAUACCGGAAAGGUAUAUUAUAUAUAUAGAAAUAUUUAAUAAUACGGUUUUAACAGGUAACCAAUCAGCAGUAAGAUUGUCGGGGAAUAAACCAAUCACUUUUAGGGAAUUUAGUCACGGGGACAAACCACGAGGUAUGGAAUGGGCAGCAGCCACAGGAAUUAAUAAUAUUCAGUUUGCACGAGGAGAGACAGCUGGAUAGUGGUUUUGUUUUGUAGCUGGGAAAGUUAAAAUAUUUUUCCUUCAGAAUAGAAGUAAUCCAAAGCCGUUCGUUUUAAUCUGAUCUGUAAUCGCCAGAGAAGCAAGCAGUAUGAUUAUAACGCAACUAAAACGAGAAACAAGGAUGAAAUGGACGUGUUUCGAAACGGGCAAAUUUCAACAUGGUUGUUGAGAAUACAAUGCAUAUUUGUUGGUUAGUAUUUCUUUUAGGAUUGCUCAUUUCUUUUAGAUUUUGUUAACUCUGACCACAAUGAUGACUGGAAUAAUCCCAGCUCGCUUUGAGUUACGACGCUGAAGAGAAAUUGUUCCGUUUAAGCGACUGAGUGGUCUGGUAAAAUUGUGAAUAAAAAAAGUCCUUUUUGAAAGAUAUAUUUUAAAUAUUUUCGCUAGAAAAGCAUAUACUCUAAUGGAAUAUGAUUUAUUUGUUUAGAUGUUGUUCUCAGAGGAGUUAUGAAUUGAUCUCAGAGAGAGGAUGGAAAAGGAUUGAAAAUUCAUCAAGAGGUGUGUUGAAAUUUGGGACGCCAUAUUGAAAUCUGGUCAUCACAAUCCCUCAUCAAAGUCUUGCCCGCCCCCCCCCCAAGAUAAGCCAUUUCCACCUCAACAUGGUCACAGAAAAAGAACCUUACAGAAGAUUGACUCAGCCAAAAAGCAUAACCACUGCCAUGAUGAUAAAUUGAUUUCAUAAAAGCGUGUGUGCUUAUGAGAGGGAUUCACCCCCCUGAAUGUCCUUCAUUUUGAAUAUUUUCAAGGGGGGGUGGGGGGAAAUCUUUUGUCAGUGCAUUAGCAAGGACAUGGCGACAGCAUUACAACUUACGCCAAAAUCUUAGACAAAAACCAAGAAGUCAUCUUUGUGCAAGGUUCUUAUUUUGUGAUCUGGUAUGCCUAAUGAAAUAAAUUGCCUAAUGAAGUAACUUGUUAUGUCUUCGUUAUCAAUUAACAAACUGUUUAGGAAAGCCUGUGAUGAACACUUGACAAGCAUAUAUCUGAAUGUCAAGUUGAGGAAAACUAUUAAAUUUCUGAGGCUUUGUUAUGCAGUCAACCAUAGAAUAAUGAAUCUGCAAUCAACUAUAGAAUAAUCAAUCUGAAGUUCCCCUGCUCAAAUUUUUUGUGUACUUUUUUGUUUCAGAGCCUGUUCUAGGAUGUUGAUCAGUGAUGGUGAAAGGCCAAGGUUAAAAAUUGUGAUGGUAAUUUUUUUGAAAUUUGACAGUUUAGUAUUGGUACCGUACUGGAGAUGAUGAUUUGACCACAGACCUGUCCUGAUUACAGUGAUGUCAUAGUUCAUGCACCACGCUGAUCCAGUAGAAAUGACAAUAUAAAUUGAUUUGACUUAUUCUUGUGUUUUUGAAUUGUGUGUAUUUUCUUAUAGGUGGAACAUACCAUUUCAAGACAUAAUAUAAUCAAUGUCAUGAUUGAACGGUUAUCUGACUAAUAGGAAUAAGUAAGAAUUACAAAUAACCGUAUAUAAUAUAAAAGUGAAGGAUAAUAUGAUUGUCUGAAACCAUAUCUGCUCUAGGUUCAACCAAUUUUGUGCAGUACUUCAUAUACAUCUACAUGCUAUUUUUUUUCUACAUUGCAAGCAAUGAUGAACUAUGUAGAGUCUCGUUCGUAUGAUUAUUUGUGAUUAUAAAACAACAUCCAUAUCUUCUGAGCUUGCUAAUAUACUACAAUAAAAAGGUUUGCAAAUUCAAAUAUUUUUCUAACUUUCCCUUUGUUUCCAUCUUCCAGGUUUUGAUCAACCACAGUCCAUGCCAUCUUCCUCUGCUUUCAAUAUUUGAUGAAAAACAAAAAUUGGGAAGAUAACAGAAUAAUAAUUUAAAAAUUAAAUGAGACUUACCUUAAGUUGAAGUUUGAUUGUAACUUGUUUGAAAUGUGAUUUUGUGUUCAAAUAAAAUAUUUAUCAACU
rnacentral:lncRNA from 1 species